rnacentral:rRNA from 1 species
GGGUGCGAGCGUUAAUCGGAAUUACUGGGCGUAAAGCGUGCGCAGGCGGUUAUAUAAGACAGGUGUGAAAUCCCCGGGCUCAACCUGGGAAUUGCAUCUGUGACUGUAUAGCUAGAGUACGGUAGAGGGGGAUGGAAUUCCGCGUGUAGCAGUGAAAUGCGUAGAUAUCGGAAGGAACAUCAGUGGCGAAAGCGACUUCCUGGACCAAUACUGACGCUCAUGUGCGAAAGCGUGGGGAGCAAACAGG